UACGGAGGGUGCAAGCGUUAUCCGGAUUCACUGGGUUUAAAGGGUGCGUAGGCGGCCUUGUAAGUCAGUGGUGAAAUACUCCAGCUUAACUGGAGGGGUGCCAUUGAUACUGCAGGGCUUGAGUUAAGUUGAAGUUGGCGGAAUUGACGGUGUAGCGGUGAAAUGCUUAGAUAUCGUCAAGAACACCGAUAGUGAAGACAGCUAACUAAACUUUUACUGACGCUGAGGCACGAAAGUGUGGGGAUCAAACAGG
rnacentral:rRNA from 1 species